rnacentral:rRNA from 1 species
CCCGCUGAACUUAAGCAUAUCAAUAAGCGGAGGAAAAGAAACCAACAGGGAUUGCCCUAGUAACGGCGAGUGAAGCGGCAACAGCUCAAAUUUGAAAUCUGGCCUUCGGGUCCGAGUUGUAAUUUGUAGAGGAUGCUUUUGGUGCGGUACUUUCCGAGUUCCCUGGAACGGGACGCCUUAGAGGGUGAGAGCCCCGUACGGUUGGAUACCUAGCCUUUGUAAAGCUCCUUCGACGAGUCGAGUAGUUUGGGAAUGCUGCUCUAAAUGGGAGGUAAAUUUCUUCUAAAGCUAAAUACUGGCCAGAGACCGAUAGCGCACAAGUAGAGUGAUCGAAAGAUGAAAAGCACUUUGAAAAGAGGGUUAAAUAGCACGUGAAAUUGUUGAAAAGGAAGCGUUUAUGACCAGACUUUUUCUAGGCAGAUCAUCCGGUGUUCUCACCGGUGCACUUUGCCUAGUUGAGGCCAGCAUCGGUUUCUAUAGAGGGAUAAAAACAGUGGGAAUGUGGCUCCUCCGGGAGUGUUAUAGCCCAUUGUAUAAUACCUUUACGGGGACCGAGGUUCGCGCUCUGCAAGGAUGCUGGCGUAAUGGUCAUCAACGACCCGUCUUGAAACACGG